rnacentral:snRNA from 1 species
AGCUUUGCGCAGUGGCAGUAUCGUAGCCAAUGAGGUUUAUCCGGGGCGCGAUUAUUGCUAAUUGAAAAAAAAAAAGUCAAGGGAAUUCCCUGGUGGCCCAGUGGUUAGGAGUUUUUACUGUGGAGUUGUUUCACCAGGUUAAAAAUAAAAUAAGAAAGCUUG